CCUACGGGUGGCAGCAGUGGGGAAUAUUGCACAAUGGGGGAAACCCUGAUGCAGCGACGCCGCGUGAAGGAUGAAGCAUUUCGGUAUGUAAACUUCUAUCAGCAGGGAAGAAAAUGACGGUACCUGACUAAGAAGCCCCGGCUAACUACGUGCCAGCAGCCGCGGUAAUACGUAGGGGGCAAGCGUUAUCCGGAUUUACUGGGUGUAAAGGGAGCGUAGACGGUAAGGCAAGUCUGAUGUGAAAACCCGGGGCCCAACCCCGGGACUGCAUUGGAAACUGCGGAACUGGAGUGUAGGAGGGGCAGGUGGAAUUCCUGGUGUAGCGGUGAAAUGCGUAGAUAUUAGGAGGAACACCAGUGGCGAAGGCGGCUUGCUGGACGGUAACUGACGUUGAGGCUCGAAAGCGUGGGGAGCAAACAGGAUUAGAUACCCCAGUAGUC
rnacentral:rRNA from 1 species